UACGGGGGGAGCAAGCGUUGUUCGGAUUUACUGGGCGUAAAGGGCGCGUAGGCGGCCACCGCAAGUCAGUUGUGAAAUCUCUGGGCUUAACCCAGAAAGGUCAACUGAUACUGCGGGGCUAGAGUGCAGAAGGGGCAACUGGAAUUCUCGGUGUAGCGGUGAAAUGCGUAGAUAUCGAGAGGAACACCUGCGACGAAGGCGGGUUGCUGGGCUGACACUGACGCUGAGGCGCGAAAGCUAGGGGAGCGAACGGG
rnacentral:rRNA from 1 species